rnacentral:rRNA from 1 species
GACGAACGCUGGCGGCGUGCUUAAGACAUGCAAGUCGAACGCAGUCUUCGGACUGAGUGGCGCACGGGUGAGUAACACGUAACUGACCUACCCCCAAGUCGCGAAUAACCAGCCGAAAGGAUGGCUAAUACGUGAUGUGAUGAUCCGCUGUGGCGGAUCAUUAAAGACUUGAUCGCUUGGGGAUGGGGUUGCGUUCCAUCAGCUAGUUGGUAAGGUAAAGGCUUACCAAGGCAACGACGGAUAGCCGGCCUGAGAGGGGGGCCGGCCACAGGGGCACUGAGACACGGGUCCCACUCCUACGGGGGGCAGCAGUUAGGAAUCUUCCACAAUGGGCGCAAGCCUGAUGGAGCGACGCCGCGUGAGGGAUGAAGGUUCUCGGAUCGUAAACCUCUGAACCAACGACGAAAGACCCGACAAGGGAGAUGACGGUAGUUGGGUAAUAGCACCGGCUAACUCCGUGCCAGCCGCCGCCGUAACAC